rnacentral:rRNA from 1 species
AGCGUACACGGUGGAUGCCCUGGCAGUCAGAGGCGAUGAAGGACGUGCUAAUCUGCGAAAAGCGCCGGCGAGGUGAUAUGAACCUUUGACCCGGCGAUGUCCGAAUGGGGAAACCCAGUGCAAUCCGUUGCACUAUCGUUAACUGAAUACAUAGGUUAACGAGGCGAACCGGGGGAACUGAAACAUCUAAGUACCCCGAGGAAAAGAAAUCAACCGAGAUUCCCCCAGUAGCGGCGAGCGAACGGGGAGCAGCCCAGAGUCUGAAUCAGCUUGUGUGUUAGUGGAACGGUCUGGAAAGUCCGACGGUACAGGGUGAUAGUCCCGUACACGAAAAUGCACAGGUUGUGAACUCGAAGAGUAGGGCGGGACACGUGGUAUCCUGUCUGAAUAUGGGGGGACCAUCCUCCAAGGCUAAAUACUCCUGACUGACCGAUAGUGAACCAGUACCGUGAGGGAAAGGCGAAAAGAACCCCGGCGAGGGGAGUGAAAAAGAACCUGAAACCGUGUACGUACAAGCAGUGGGAGCCUCUUUAUGGGGUGACUGCGUACCUUUUGUAUAAUGGGUCAGCGACUUAUAUUCUGUAGCAAGGUUAACCGUAUAGGGGAGCCGAAGGGAAACCGAGUCUUAACUGGGCGUUAAGUUGCAGGGUAUAGACCCGAAACCCGGUGAUCUAGCCAUGGGCAGGUUGAAGGUUGGGUAACACUAACUGGAGGACCGAACCGACUAAUGUUGAAAAAUUAGCGGAUGACUUGUGGCUGGGGGUGAAAGGCCAAUCAAACCGGGAGAUAGCUGGUUCUCCCCGAAAGCUAUUUAGGUAGCGCCUCGUGAAUUCAUCUUCGGGGGUAGAGCACUGUUUCGGCUAGGGGGUCAUCCCGACUUACCAACCCGAUGCAAACUACGAAUACCGAAGAAUGUUAUCACGGGAGACACACGGCGGGUGCUAACGUCCGUCGUGAAGAGGGAAACAACCCAGACCGCCAGCUAAGGUCCCAAAGUCAUGGUUAAGUGGGAAACGAUGUGGGAAGGCACAGACAGCCAGGAUGUUGGCUUAGAAGCAGCCAUCAUUUAAAGAAAGCGUAAUAGCUCACUGGUCGAGUCGGCCUGCGCGGAAGAUGUAACGGGGCUAAACCAUGCACCGAAGCUGCGGCAGCGACACUAUGUGUUGUUGGGUAGGGGAGCGUUCUGUAAGCCGUUGAAGGUGUGCUGUGAGGCAUGCUGGAGGUAUCAGAAGUGCGAAUGCUGACAUAAGUAACGAUAAAGCGGGUGAAAAGCCCGCUCGCCGGAAGACCAAGGGUUCCUGUCCAACGUUAAUCGGGGCAGGGUGAGUCGACCCCUAAGGCGAGGCCGAAAGGCGUAGUCGAUGGGAAACAGGUUAAUAUUCCUGUACUUGGUGUUACUGCGAAGGGGGGACGGAGAAGGCUAUGUUAGCCGGGCGACGGUUGUCCCGGUUUAAGCAUGUAGGCGGAGGUUCCAGGUAAAUCCGGUACCUUUUAACGCUGAGGUGUGAUGACGAGGCACUACGGUGCUGAAGUAACAAAUGCCCUGCUUCCAGGAAAAGCCUCUAAGCAUCAGGUAACACGAAAUCGUACCCCAAACCGACACAGGUGGUCAGGUAGAGAAUACCAAGGCGCUUGAGAGAACUCGGGUGAAGGAACUAGGCAAAAUGGUGCCGUAACUUCGGGAGAAGGCACGCUGAUAUGUAGGUGAAGUGGUUUACCCAUGGAGCUGAAAUCAGUCGAAGAUACCAGCUGGCUGCAACUGUUUAUUAAAAACACAGCACUGUGCAAACACGAAAGUGGACGUAUACGGUGUGACGCCUGCCCGGUGCCGGAAGGUUAAUUGAUGGGGUUAGCGGCAACGCGAAGCUCUUGAUCGAAGCCCCGGUAAACGGCGGCCGUAACUAUAACGGUCCUAAGGUAGCGAAAUUCCUUGUCGGGUAAGUUCCGACCUGCACGAAUGGCGUAAUGAUGGCCAGGCUGUCUCCACCCGAGACUCAGUGAAAUUGAACUCGCUGUGAAGAUGCAGUGUACCCGCGGCAAGACGGAAAGACCCCGUGAACCUUUACUAUAGCUUGACACUGAACACUGGUCCUUGAUGUGUAGGAUAGGUGGGAGGCUUUGAAGCGUGGACGCCAGUCUGCGUGGAGCCAACCUUGAAAUACCACCCUUUAAUGGCUGGUGUUCUAACGUAGACCCGUAAUCCGGGUUGCGGACAGUGUCUGGUGGGUAGUUUGACUGGGGCGGUCUCCUCCCAAAGAGUAACGGAGGAGCACGAAGGUUGGCUAAUCCUGGUCGGACAUCAGGAGGUUAGUGCAAUGGCAUAAGCCAGCUUGACUGCGAGCGUGACGGCGCGAGCAGGUGCGAAAGCAGGUCAUAGUGAUCCGGUGGUUCUGAAUGGAAGGGCCAUCGCUCAACGGAUAAAAGGUACUCCGGGGAUAACAGGCUGAUACCGCCCAAGAGUUCAUAUCGACGGCGGUGUUUGGCACCUCGAUGUCGGCUCAUCACAUCCUGGGGCUGAAGUAGGUCCCAAGGGUAUGGCUGUUCGCCAUUUAAAGUGGUACGCGAGCUGGGUUUAGAACGUCGUGAGACAGUUCGGUCCCUAUCUGCCGUGGGCGCUGGAGAAUUGAGGGGGGCUGCUCCUAGUACGAGAGGACCGGAGUGGACGCAUCACUGGUGUUCGGGUUGUCAUGCCAAUGGCACUGCCCGGUAGCUAAAUGCGGAAGAGAUAAGUGCUGAAAGCAUCUAAGCACGAAACUUGCCCCGAGAUGAGUUCU